AGAGCGAACGCUGGCGGCAGGCCUAGCACAUGCAAGUCGAGCGCCCGUAGCAAUACGGGAGCGGCAGACGGGAUAGUAACACGUGGGAACGCGCCCUUCGGUUCGGAAUAACUCAGGGAAACUUGAGCUAAUACCGAAUACGCCCUUACGGGGAAAGAUUUAUUGCCGAAGGAACGGCCCGCGUCCGAUUAGCUAGUUGGUGAGGUAAUGGCUCACCAAGGCUACGAUCGGUAGCUGGUCUGAGAGGAUGACCAGCAUCACUGGGACUGAGACACGGCCCAGACUCCUACGGGAGGCAGCAGUGGGGAAUAUUGGACAAUGGGCGCAAGCCUGAUCCAGCCAUGCCGCGUGGAUGAUGAAGGCCUUAGGGUUGUAAAGUCCUUUUAAACGGGGAAGAUAAUGACGGUACCCGUAGAAUAAGCCCCGGCUAACUUCGUGCCAGCAGCCGC
rnacentral:rRNA from 1 species